rnacentral:rRNA from 1 species
ACUCAAAGGAAUAGACGGGGGCCCGCACAAGCGGUGGAGCAUGUGGUUUAAUUCGAAGCUACGCGAAGAACCUUACCAGGUCUUGACAUCCUCUGACACUCCUAGAGAUAGGACGUUCCCUUCGGGGACAGAGUGACAGGUGGUGCAUGGUUGUCGUCAGCUCGUGUCGUGAGAUGUUGGGUUAAGUCCCGUAACGAGCGCAACCCUUGAUGUUAGUUGCCAGCAUUUAGUUGGGCACUCUAACGUGACUGCCGGUGACAAACCGGAGGAAGGUGAGGAUGACGUCAAAUCAUCAUGCCCCUUAUGACCUGGGCGACACACGUGCUACAAUGGAUGGUACAACGGGCAGCGAAACCGCGAGGUGAAGCGAAUCCCAUAAAACCAUUCUCAGUUCGGAUUGUAGGCUGCAACUCGCCUACAUGAAGCAGGAAUCGCUAGUAAUCGCGGAUCAGAAUGCCGCGGUGAAUACGUUCCCGGGCCUUGUACACACCGCCCGU